rnacentral:lncRNA from 1 species
GGAAGUUUCAUUCUAACUUAAUUUUGUAUUAACAAAUGUUCAUUUAUUUAUAAACUGAAGCCACGUAGGAAUCGCAGCUCCUAUGAUCAGCAUAGGUUCCUGGCGAUCACUGUGCCCCACCCCCACUGCCAGCUGCCUUCCUGAUGACAGAGAGAUCAUGGUUUUGGAGAAUGCUACCAGGACAAGAACCCCCCCACCCUGCCACCCUUGUUUGGGACGCUGAAUUCCCUGGGACUUCUGAGUGUACAGACCCUGCACUGCUGCAAGACUCCGUGCAUUCCCAAAACCACAAGCCUCAGACCGGCUGUGAGUGUCUGGGAACUGAUGCCAGGAUUUGACCUCCAGAUGCAGAGGCCUGCCACCCCGACUCCACCUCACCCAUCCUGGCUCCCACAGCCAGUCCACCCUGUUAUCUGCCACAUGCUUCCAAAAGCAGGAAAAACAAGAGGCUCCAGCGUUCUUCCAGCUGGAAAUUGGUUGGCGGAGCAUGGUCCCUGGGGAUUGUGGUGCUGUAGGCUCUGCAGAAGAGCAGGGGUUCACUCAGCAGGAGUAGCGCUGACCCCACCCUGCAGCCCUUCCUUGUGUCUGGAAGUAACUCAGGAGGCCAUGGCAGCAGUUUGCACCCCACCCCCACCCCCGCCCCCGGGUGAGGCCUGUCAGCCCCUCUCUCCUGCCCCUCCUCCUGCCCCUCCUCUGUUGCUCAGUCGGAUCAAAUAAGUGGAUUUUUGGUUUGUUUGUUUGUUUUUAUGAACAAGCUCCUCUAGUUUCCUGGGCUGUGGAUUCCACUGCCUGGAGCAUGCUCACAAACCCUGGAAGUAAUGAAAUCGGAGGGGGGUGGAGGUGGGGAGGAUCCAUGAGCUGAACGGAGAUGAAAUGAAAUGAUCAUGUUUUCAGAAAACAAGAAAAGUGAGACAUAGUCUCGCUUCAAAAAGCAAAACAAACCCUUCAGAAUCAGGACUGCAGAAAUGGCUCAUCAGUUAAAAUAUUUAUUGUUCUAGAAGGACCUGAGCUUUGUUCCCAACACCCCCAAUGGGUGGCUUACAACCACCUGUGACUGCAGCUCCAGGAGUAUCUGAUGUCCUCUUUUGACCUCUGUGGACACUGAACUCACCCGUACACACACUCACAUACACACACACACACACACACACACACACACACACACACACACACAGACACACACACACACACACUCACACACACACACAAGGAGCAACCCGGGAACUGACCCUCUCCCCCUUCAGCUUCUCCUUUCCUCCUUUGAGAGGUUUAUAAGGCACAGUGUGCAGGAACCCCGAGAUGAUCUGAGGUGACUGAGGGGAGAUCACCCCCCCCCCCCCGUAGGCAGGAAUGUUCUUGAUGCUUACAGGAUCCAGGUAAUAGCCGGGUGACUGGAACCCAGCCUCUCAAGAUGGAGAUGAGGUGCUUUCUCGGUAACCACAUUGGUGUGAUUUCAUAACUACUAAGGUGCGUGGAUUAACCAUGAAACUGAAUGGUUAAAAGCAUACAGCAAUUGCCUGAUAGCCGUACUCUAUAAUUUAGUAUAAUCUAAUCAUGGACAAAGCCUCAAAGAAAACUCUUGGAAAGCAUUCGUUUUCCUUCAUACACAAUUUGUUACUGACGUUGGUAAUACAUGCCAUGCCUCCGAAGAAAGGAUAGCCCACGACACCGAUGUGUGAGUGUGGUCCAGACAGUGAGCUUUCAAUUCCGAGGAGACUGAGCAAAGCAGGGGGCAUAGCUGCCCAAUUGAACCUGUUCCAGCGCAUUUACCGGUGACUCUAUUUACCUCCUCCUUACCACAGCCUGGGAGAGACACCAGAAGGGCACCACAAGGCAUUGAGAUGAGGUAGCAUGAGGCUGGAUCCUCCAGAAGUCAUGCCUGGAGUCAAAAUCUGAGCCCUAUUUGGCACCCAUUUCCCCCUGCACUCUCCCAGCAGAGCACCGUGCCUCCUGUGGGUGCCACUAGCACAUGGUUCAAAGGAAGCCAGCUCAGCUGAGCUCAUCAACAAGGUGGGUCAAGAAUGCAGCCUGAGCGUUACAGAGGAUGGGAUGAGUGUGCUGUUUCCUAGCGGGGAGAGGAGGAGGAAAAUGGAACCAUGAAAGAUUUAUGGCCAUUGUUAUUAUGGGGCUCUGUUGAGACAGGAAGAGGCUAGCAGGAGGGGAGCAGUGUGGUAGCCUUCUGGGGACCCGGAGGCUUCCAGCAACUCAUUGCCUCUGCCGUUUGUGUGGAUGUGGUUACUAAACAGACCAGACGCAGGCUCAGCGUUCUGUCUUUCCUCUCUGCCUUCAAUAAAUCAAGAAGACUGGCCA